rnacentral:rRNA from 1 species
UACGGAGGAUGCGAGCGUUAUCCGGAUUUAUUGGGUUUAAAGGGUGCGUAGGCGGAUCGUUAAGUCAGUGGUCAAAUUGAGGGGCUCAACCCCUUCCCGCCAUUGAAACUGGCGCUCUUGAGUGGAAGAGAAGUAUGCGGAAUGCGUGGUGUAGCGGUGAAAUGCGUAGAUAUCACGCAGAACUCCGAUUGCGAAGGCAGCGUACCGGCGCCCAACUGACGCUGAAGCACGAAGGCGUGGGUAUCGAACAGG